rnacentral:rRNA from 1 species
AUUGAACGCUGGCGGCAUGCCUUACACAUGCAAGUCGAACGGUAACAGGUUAAGCUGACGAGUGGCGAACGGGUGAGUAAUGUAUCGGAACGUGCCCAGUCGUGGGGGAUAACUACUCGAAAGAGUGGCUAAUACCGCAUACGACCUGAGGGUGAAAGCGGGGGACCGUAAGGCCUCGCGCGAUUGGAGCGGCCGAUAUCAGAUGACCUAGUUGGUGGGGUAAAAGCCCACCAAGGCGACGAUCUGUAGCUGGUCUGAGAGGACGACCAGCCACACUGGGACUGAGACACGGCCCAGACUCCUACGGGAGGCAGCAGUGGGGAAUUUUGGACAAUGGACGCAAGUCUGAUACAGCCAUGCCGCGUGCGGGAAGAAGGCCUUCGGGUUGUAAACCGCUUUUGUCAGGGAAGAAACGAGUUUCUCUAAUACAGAGACUUAAUGACGGUACCUGAAGAAUAAGCACCGGCUAACUACGUGCCAGCCGCCGCAGUAAGAC